AGUGAACCUUCAAUUAGCUCCCUGAAUCAGUAUUUUAACAUUUUCUUAGUCCAUAAACUUCUUCUGAUAACAGUAAUUGACCUUCUUCCCAAGAAAAAAAUGCAUGAAACACAUAUACUUACAGUAUUUUAAUAUUAUAAUUGAGGAACUUCUUGGACCUAGCUAAAACUCAUUCACGAAACUCAGUAAGUCCUGUGGUUGUGUUUGAGCAUCUCUGUUGUUACCAGUGUUUAAGAACUCAAAUAAUACGAAAUUCCUUUCUUCUUGAAAACUAGAAAAGCAGGUCAAAACUGGGAUUAGCAUUUUCCAUUUUUAUACAAUAAUGCUUUAAGUUAUAGCAAUGAGCUAAAAAUUGGAAUAGUCGAUGAUGCAAAUAAUACUAAGAAAUUGGUUGUUGACUCUGAAAGUUAUCCAUGGUGGUUUACC